rnacentral:rRNA from 1 species
AUGGAGCUGCAAAAUGUCAUCCUGCUCCUCUUGCUGACAAUCAACCUUGCUAUCGCCCAAAACACUUCUAGAGAAGAAGCACAGGAACUCCAUGUUGGGGUUAUCCUUGACUUGGGGUCCAUUGUUGGCAAAAUGGCACGGACCAGCGUUCCACUGGCUAUGGAGGACUUCUAUGCUGUUCAUCGGAACUAUAGCACCAAGCUUGUCCUCCACAUCAGAGAUUCCAUGAGUGAUGAUGUCCAAGCUGCAUCUCAAGCUAUUGACCUGCUAGAGAAUUACAAUGUAGAAGUCAUCAUUGGUCCUCAGAAAUCUUCGCAAGCUAUAUUUAUCUCAAAACUUGGAAAUAAAAGUCAUGCCCCAGUCAUAUCCUUCACGGCAACAAGCCCAUCUCUAUCAUCUAAAACUCUUCCAUAUUUUGUGCGAGCAACAAUAAAUGACUCGGCACAGGCAAGAGAAGUAGGGAUGAUGAACAAAGGAUAUGCAUGGAUCAUGACAGAUGGAGUAACCAAUCUAAUAGAUUCACUGAAUCCUUCUAUCCUAGAAUCGUUGAAUGGUGCCAUAGGCGUUGAGUUUUAUGUUCCCAAAACCAAGGAACUUGAUGACUUCGCCAUGAGAUGGAAUAUGAGGUUCCAGAUUGACAACCCAACUGAUCCACCAUUGAAAUUAAACAUCUUUGGACUAUGGGGCUAUGAUACAAUCUGGGCAGUAGCACAUGCCGCAGCAAAAGUUGGACUUGCAAAUGCCACAUUUCAGAAACCAGGUGCCACAAGAAAUUCAAUAAGUUUGGAAACCUUGGAAACAUCUAGUAAUGGUCCAAAACUGUUGCAAGCAAUCCUGCAGAAUAAAUUUAGAGGCCUCAGUGGCAAUAUUGACCUUUCAAAUAGGCAGCUGCAAAUUUCAACAUUUCGGAUAAUAAAUGUAGUAGGGAAAGGAUGGAGAGAUAUUGGAUUCUGGACUGCACAAAAUGAACUCUCGCAGCACUUAAAUAAAACCAGACACACAACAACACAUCUAAAUCCAGUUAUUUGGCCAGGAGAGUCCAUAGAAAUACCCCGAGGUUUUAAGAUUCCUGUAAGCGGGAAGAAACUUCAAGUUGGUGUGUGCACAAGUGGAUAUCCGGAAUUUGUGAAGGUCGAAAAGGAUCAUAUCACAGGUGCAACUAAAGCAAUCGGUUUUUCAGUGGAUGUAUUUGAAGAGGCAGUUAAGAGACUUCCUUAUGCAGUCCCUUAUGAAUAUGUCCUAUUUAGUACCAAGGAUGAUGGAAGUGCCGAAGAUUACAAUGAUUUUGUCUACCAAGUUUAUCUUGAGUAUGAAGAACCAGUUAUGGAUUUAUGGUACUCCCUCUGUUCACUUUUGAGGGCAGGCCUGGCGCAGUGGUGA